GACGAACGCUGGCGGCGUGCCUAAUACAUGCAAGUAGAACGAGCGGCGGACGGGUGAGUAAUGCCUGGGAAUUGCCCAGUCGAGGGGGAUAACAGUUGGAAACGACUGCUAAUACCGCAUACGAUUGGAUUGCCCAGGUGGGAUUAGCUAGUUGGUGAGGUAAUGGCUCACCAAGGCGAUGAUCCCUAGCUGGUCUGAGAGGAUGACCAGCAACACGGGAACGGGGACACGGUCCAGAUUCCUACGGGAGGCACAGGGGGGGAAUAUUGCACAAUGGGGGAAACCCGGAGGCAGCCAUGCGGGGGGUGUGAAGAGGGCCUUCGGGUUGUAAAGCACUUUCAGCGAGGAGGCGUUACUCGCAGAAGAAGCACCGGCUAACUCCGUGCCAGCAGCCGCGGUAAUUC
rnacentral:rRNA from 1 species